CUCCGCCUGCCGCCUCCCAUUGGUCCUCCUUUCCUCCCUCUUCCCUUUUUAACCUAAAGGGGAAAACAACACAAAUAGAAAAACAACACAAAAAAAAGUAACCAUUAUAUCUGAAAGACGUAAGAGAUGUACAAAUGAAAUAAAAGGACAGCUGAACAAUAUGUUAAAAGGGUUAUCUGGGUUAUCAGGGAGACACACCCCCUGAGGUCAGGGAGCCACACCCCCUGAGGUCAGGGAGCCACGCCCCCAGAGGUCAGGGAGACACACCCCCUGAGGUCAGGGAGCCACGCCCCCUGAGGUCAGGGAGAUACUCCCCCUUAGGUCAGGGAGCCACGCCCCCUGAGGUCAGUGACCGUCUGCAAUGUCCACCGUAUCUGUUAGAGCCAGAGAGAGAGAGAGAGAGAGAGAGAGAGAGAGACAGAGACAGAGACAGAGAGAGAGAGAGAGAGAGAGAGAGAGACAGAGACAGAGACAGAGAGAGAGACAUUAAAAACAGACCCACUCAGCGUCGUGAGCCACUACUCACCGCAGCCCUACCAGAGGGCCGAUGGCAGCGCGUUGCAGCAGACCUCUGAACACUAGAAAAGCAGAAUUACCUCGUGGUAACGGACUAUUACUCAAGGGACCUCGAAAUUGCUCAC
ensembl:lncRNA